GAUGAACGCUGGCUACAGGCUUAACACAUGCAAGUCGAGGGGAAACGACGGGGAAGCUUGCUUCCCCGGGCGUCGACCGGCGCACGGGUGAGUAACGCGUAUCCAACCUGCCUCUGACUGAGGGAUAACCCGUCGAAAGUCGGCCUAAUACCUCAUGGCAUCGUCUGCGGGCAUCCAACGACGAUUAAAGAUUUCAUCGGUCAGGGAUGGGGAUGCGUCUGAUUAGCUAGUUGGCGGGGUAACGGCCCACCAAGGCGACGAUCAGUAGGGGUUCUGAGAGGAAGGUCCCCCACAUUGGAACUGAGACACGGUCCAAACUCCUACGGGAGGCAGCAGUGAGGAAUAUUGGUCAAUGGGCGAGAGCCUGAACCAGCCAAGUAGCGUGCAGGAUGACGGCCCUAUGGGUUGUAAACUGCUUUUAUGCGGGGAUAAAGUGAGGGACGUGUCCUUCAUUGCAGGUACCGCAUGAAUAAGGACCGGCUAAUUCCGU
rnacentral:rRNA from 1 species